rnacentral:antisense_RNA from 1 species
UGCGGUAGUGAGGGGAUUUUUUAGUGUAGCUACAUAUGUCGCCUAUUUACUUGUCGUUACGAUGGCGUAGCCAAUGCGCAAAUAAUGUAACGAUACAAC